UCAAUGGUAGGAAGGAAAGAUGAUGUUGCA
rnacentral:piRNA from 1 species